UACGGAGGGUGCAAGCGUUGUUCGGAAUUACUGGGCGUAAAGCGCGUGUAGGCGGCCGAUUAAGUCUGGUGUGAAAGCCCGGGGCUCACCCCCGGAAGUGCGCUGGAAACUGGUCGGCUAGAGUAUGGAAGAGGAAAGUGGAAUUCCCGGUGUAGCGGUGAAAUGCGUAGAGAUCCGGAGGAACACCAGAGGCGAAGGCGGCCUACUGGGCUGCACCUGACGCUGAGCCGCGAAAGCGUGGGGAGCAAACAGG
rnacentral:rRNA from 1 species